rnacentral:rRNA from 2 species
ACACCCGUUCCCAUACCGAACACGGAAGUUAAGCUUCUCAGCGCCGAUGGUAGUUAGGGGCUGUCCCCUUGUGAGAGUAGGACGUUGCCGGGC